rnacentral:rRNA from 1 species
UACGGAGGGUGCAAGCAUUGAUCGGAAUUACUGGGCGUAAAGGGCGCGUAGGCGGUUAUAUAAGUCAGAUGUGAAAUUCCGGGGCUCAACCUCGGAGCAGCAUUUGAAACUGUAAGACUAGAGGAUAGUUAGGGAAAACGGAAUUCCACGUGUAGCGGUGAAAUGCGUAGAUAUGUGGAAGAACACCAGUGGUGAAGACGGUUUUCUGGGCUAUAACUGACGCUGAGGCGCGAAAGCUAGGGGAGCAAAC